AAUUACAACCUGGCCUGACAUCUCCUCUGUCAGGUCGCUCUCUUUUGUGUACAGGGGGUCUUCCCCUUCUUUUGCAAUGAAAGGCUAUGAUUUAAUCUUCAAAAAAAAAAAAUGGACUACAGGCAAUCCCUUUAGUACAACGUUUCCAGGACUAUUCUCUUUAGCGGUUGGCAAGGGGAUUAGAGUAGCAGAGGCAUGGAACAAGGAGGACAAAGGAAUCUGCAUUUUCAAAGAUAGCUUUUUGAGUGGGAAUUGAGUUCAUUGCAUGAACUUUUGUAGAAUCUCCGAGAGAUGUAUACCUUGACAGGGAGAAGGACGAUAAGCUAAGAUGGGAACUUGAUCACAACGCUCCUUCUCUAUUAGAGAUUUAUAGUCGCUCUAGAUCGUCAUGUUACACCUGAACUUGGAAAAGUUUUACAGGUUUAAAUGGAGGAGGCUAUUAUGGGUGACUCCAAUGCCUGUGGAAAUGUUCCUUAAGUCUUGUGAAGAUGCCUUGAAAAGAGGUGGUUAACAGUGUGUGGUGCCUACAUUUUGAUCAUUAUGGAUUGCAAGCAAUGAUGUUGUGUUUAAUGGUAAAAAAUGGGAUGGGGGAGAUUUUUUUUUUUUUUUGUUAAUGAUAAAGAUGAGAUCAACAUUAUGGGUUAAAGCAAUUGAAGGCAAUGGUUGUAUUGAUGAAGUCGGGUGAUGGUCUGAGCUUAGGAAUUUCCAAUAUACUUCUGUUGAAGGUAGAAAAAGAGUUUUUUGAAUUUCUCGAAAAGAAAAUGAACUGAAAUUUAAUGUUAGAAGGUUUUGUUAGGAUUAAAUUAGGCCUGGCAGGUUGUGGAGGGGUGCUAAGAGACUCAUGUGGUUCUGUGCUUGUAAUUUUCUUUAUUUUUUGGGAAUAAUGGAUUGUAAUUUUCCAAAAUUAAUGACCAUUAAAAAUGUUUUUUAA